rnacentral:rRNA from 1 species
GCUAACGCAGUGACAAAAGCGGUGGUAAUACGGAGGGGGCAAGGGGUAAACGGAAUAACUGGGCGUAAAGCGCACGCAGGCGGUUAGAUAAGUCAGAUGUGAAAGCCCCGGGCUCAACCUGGGAACUGCAGUUGAAACUGGCUGACUAGAGUCUUGUAGAGGGGGGUAGAAUUCCAGGUGUAGCGGUGAAAUGCGUAGAGAUCUGGAGGAAUACCGGUGGCGAAGGCGGCCCCCUGGACAAAGACUGACGCUCAGGUGCGAAAGCGUGGGGAGCAAACAGGAUUAGAUACCCUGGUAGUC